rnacentral:rRNA from 1 species
GAUGAACGCUGGCGGCGUGCCUAAUACAUGCAAGUCGAGCGAACGGACGAGAAGCUUGCUUCUCUGAUGUUAGCGGCGGACGGGUGAGUAACACGUGGAUAACCUACCUACAAGACUGGGAUAACUUCGGGAAACCGGAGCUAAUACCGGAUAAUAUUUUGAACCGCAUGGUUCAAAAGUGAAAGACGGUCUUGCUGUCACUUAUAGAUGGAUCCGCGCUGCAUUAGCUAGUUGGUAAGGUAACGGCUUACCAAGGCAACGAUGCAUAGCCGACCUGAGAGGGUGAUCGGCCACACUGGAACUGAGACACGGUCCAGACUCCUACGGGAGGCAGCAGUAGGGAAUCUUCCGCAAUGGGCGAAAGCCUGACGGAGCAACGCCGCGUGAGUGAUGAAGGUCUUCGGAUCGUAAAACUCUGUUAUUAGGGAAGAACAUAUGUGUAAGUAACUGUGCACAUCUUGACGGUACCUAAUCAGAAAGCCACGGCUAACUACGUGCCAGCAGCCGCGGUAAUACGUAGGUGGCAAGCGUUAUCCGGAAUUAUUGGGCGUAAAGCGCGCGUAGGCGGUUUUUUAAGUCUGAUGUGAAAGCCCACGGCUCAACCGUGGAGGGUCAUUGGAAACUGGAAAACUUGAGUGCAGAAGAGGAAAGUGGAAUUCCAUGUGUAGCGGUGAGAUGCGCAGAGAUAUGGAGGAACACCAGUGGCGAAGGCGACUUUCUGGUCUGUAACUGACGCUGAUGUGCGAAAGCGUGGGGAUCAAACAGGAUUAGAUACCCUGGUAGUCCACGCCGUAAACGAUGAGUGCUAAGUGUUAGGGGGUUUCCGCCCCUUAGUGCUGCAGCUAACGCAUUAAGCACUCCGCCUGGGGAGUACGACCGCAAGGUUGAAACUCAAAGGAAUUGACGGGGACCCGCACAAGCGGUGGAGCAUGUGGUUUAAUUCGAAGCAACGCGAAGAACCUUACCAAAUCUUGACAUCCUUUGACAACUCUAGAGAUAGAGCUUUCCCCUUCGGGGGACAAAGUGACAGGUGGUGCAUGGUUGUCGUCAGCUCGUGUCGUGAGAUGUUGGGUUAAGUCCCGCAACGAGCGCAACCCUUAAGCUUAGUUGCCAUCAUUAAGUUGGGCACUCUAAGUUGACUGCCGGUGACAAACCGGAGGAAGGUGGGGAUGACGUCAAAUCAUCAUGCCCCUUAUGAUUUGGGCUACACACGUGCUACAAUGGACAAUACAAAGGGCAGCGAAACCGCGAGGUCAAGCAAAUCCCAUAAAGUUGUUCUCAGUUCGGAUUGUAGUCUGCAACUCGACUACAUGAAGCUGGAAUCGCUAGUAAUCGUAGAUCAGCAUGCUACGGUGAAUACGUUCCCGGGUCU